rnacentral:rRNA from 1 species
GACGAACGCUGGCGGCGUGCUUAACACAUGCAAGUCUAACGGAAAGGCCCUGCUUUUGUGGGGUGCUCGAGUGGCGAACGGGUGAGUAACACGUGAGUAACCUGCCCUUGACUUUGGGAUAACUUCAGGAAACUGGGGCUAAUACCGGAUAGGAGCUCCUGCUGCAUGGUGGGGGUUGGAAAGUUUCGGCGGUUGGGGAUGGACUCGCGGCUUAUCAGCUUGUUGGUGGGGUAGUGGCUUACCAAGGCUUUGACGGGUAGCCGGCCUGAGAGGGUGACCGGCCACAUUGGGACUGAGAUACGGCGCAGACUCCUACGGGAGGCAGCAGUGGGGAAUAUUGCACAAUGGGCGGAAGCCUGAUGCAGCAACGCCGCGUGCGGGAUGACGGCCUUCGGGUUGUAAACCGCUUUAGCCUGUGACGAAGCGUGAGUGACGGUAAUGGGUAAAGAAGCACCGGCUAACUACGUG